CGCUGGCGGCAGGCCUAACACAUGCAAGUCGAGCGGAUGAAAGGAGCUUGCUCCUGGAUUCAGCGGCGGACGGGUGAGUAAUGCCUAGGAAUCUGCCUGGUAGUGGGGGACAACGUUUCGAAAGGAACGCUAAUACCGCAUACGUCCUACGGGAGAAAGCAGGGGACCUUCGGGCCUUGCGCUAUCAGAUGAGCCUAGGUCGGAUUAGCUAGUUGGUGAGGUAAUGGCUCACCAAGGCGACGAUCCGUAACUGGUCUGAGAGGAUGAUCAGUCACACUGGAACUGAGACACGGUCCAGACUCCUACGGGAGGCAGCAGUGGGGAAUAUUGGACAAUGGGCGAAAGCCUGAUCCAGCCAUGCCGCGUGUGUGAAGAAGGUCUUCGGAUUGUAAAGCACUUUAAGUUGGGAGGAAGGGUUGUAGACUAAUACUCUGCAAUUUUGACGUUACCGACAGAAUAAGCACCGGCU
rnacentral:rRNA from 1 species